rnacentral:rRNA from 1 species
AUUGAACGCUGGCGGCAGGCCUAACACAUGCAAGUCGAACGAGUGGCGGACGGGUGAGUAAUGUCUGGGAAACUGCCCGAUGGAGGGGGAUAACUACUGGAAACGGUAGCUAAUACCGCAUACCAUCGGAUGUGCCCAGAUGGGGUUAGCGAGUAGGUGAGGUAACGGCUCACCUAGGCGACGAUCCCAAGCUGGUCUGAUAGGAUGACCAGCCACACUGGGACUCAGACUCGGUCCAGAGUCCUACGUGAUGCAGCAGUGGGGAAUAGUGCACAAUGGGCGCAAGCCUGAUGCAGCCAUGCCGCGUGUAUUAAGAAGGCCUUCCGGUUGUAAAGUACUUUCAGCGGGGAGGCUUUACCCGGAGAAGAAGCACCGGCUAACUCCGUUCCAGUAGCCGCGGUAAUAC